GUUGUGCGGGACCGCAGGCUCUACAGCUCUUUCUGACCUCUAGUGCUGGUUUCGAGCCUUAGGCCUGAUUGGGCACUGAGCCAUCCCAGCCACACGGGGCUUUCCUACUGCAUUGUGAAAUGACACAUAGAGCCCACCCGGGUGUCACACAGUCACAGCCGAUGGGCUCCAUCACUUUUCUCUCUACCCAAUCACAGGGUUUUCCAGAUUGCAGGCUGCACCCGCACUACAGCAUCCCUUAAUGAGGGACUUCAGCAACCUGAAAUGAUCUGAAAUGAUAACCCAGCAGCCUGGAGACAUGCUGCUUUGAUUUAAUGAUCGUCUUUAAAGUCAAUCUGCAAGGAACCAGGAUAAAGGAGCAAAACAACGUGCCACCACAAAAACAAGGAGUGUCAGAGGCUACAGCUAAAAAGUUUUGCCCACAUGACUACUGGAACAGGAGCUGGACAAAGAUGAUACCAGUAGACAUGCUAAUUGGCUCACAAAGCCUCAACCCUACACACAGAACUAUAGGCAACUAAGGAUUGCUGAGAGUGGGAGAGAUAGCCUUCCCCAAGGAAGAGUACCGUUGGUUAUCCAGUACCCAGUGGUUGGUUAUCCAGUAUUCAGUGGUUGGUUAUUCAGUACCCAAUGGUCUGCCCUGGAAGCCC
rnacentral:lncRNA from 1 species